UACGUAGGGUGCAAGCGUUAAUCGGAAUUACUGGGCGUAAAGCGUGCGCAGGCGGUUGUGCAAGACCGAUGUGAAAUCCCCGGGCUUAACCUGGGAAUGGCAUUGGUGACUGCACGGCUAGAGUGUGUCAGAGGGGGGUAGAAUUCCACGUGUAGCAGUGAAAUGCGUAGAGAUGUGGAGGAAUACCGAUGGCGAAGGCAGCCCCCUGGGACUAACACUGACGCUCAUGCACGAAAGCGUGGGGAGCAAACAGG
rnacentral:rRNA from 1 species